GCGGAGGAAAAGAAACCAACAGGGAUUGCCCUAGUAACGGCGAGUGAAGCGGCAACAGCUCAAAUUUGAAAUCUGGCGUCUUUGGCGUCCGAGUUGUAAUUUGCAGAGGGCGCUUUGGCAUUGGCAGCGGUCCAAGUUCCUUGGAACAGGACGUCACAGAGGGUGAGAAUCCCGUACGUGGUCGCUAGCCUUUACCGUGUAAAGCCCCUUCGACGAGUCGAGUUGUUUGGGAAUGCAGCUCUAAAUGGGAGGUAAAUUUCUUCUAAAGCUAAAUACUGGCCAGAGACCGAUAGCGCACAAGUAGAGUGAUCGAAAGAUGAAAAGCACUUUGGAAAGAGAGUUAAAAAGCACGUGAAAUUGUUGAAAGGGAAGCGCUUGCAGCCAGACUUGCCUGUAGUUGCUCAUCCGGGUUUCUACCCGGUGCACUCUUCUACGGGCAGGCCAGCAUCAGUUUGGGCGGUUGGAUAAAGGUCUCUGUCAUGUACCUCCUCUCGGGGAGAACUUAUAGGGGAGACGACAUGCAACCAGCCCGGACUGAGGUCCGCGCAUCUGCUAGGAUGCUGGCGUAAUGGCUGUAAGCGGCCCGUCUUGAAACACGGACCAAGGAGUCUAACAUCUAUGCGAGUGUUUGGGUGUCAAGCCCGAGCGCGUAAUGAAAGUGAACGGAGGUGGGAACCUUUCGGGGUGCACCAUCGACCGAUCCUGAUGUCUUCGGAUGGAUUUGAGUAAGAGCAUAGCUGUUGGGACCCGAAAGAUGGUGAACUAUGCUUGAAUAGGGUGAAGCCAGAGGAAACUCUGGUGGAGGCUCGCAGCGGUUCUGACGUGCAAAUCGAUCGUCAAAUUUGG
rnacentral:ncRNA from 2 species